rnacentral:rRNA from 1 species
UAAAGGCAUGGUCCUGACCUUAUUAUCAGCUCUUACCCGACUUACACAUGCAAGUCUCCGCAAUCCCGUGAGUAUGCCCUCAAUCCCCCGCCCGGGGACGAGGAGCGGGCAUCAGGCACAAAUUUUAGCCCAAGACGCCUGGCCAAGCCACACCCCCAAGGGAAUUCAGCAGUGAUAAACAUUAAGCCAUAAGUGAAAACUUGACUCAGUCAGGGUUAAGAGGGCCGGUAAAACUCGUGCCAGCCACCGCGGUUAAACGAGAGGCCCUAGUUGAUAAAACCACGGCGUAAAGGGUGGUUAAGGAAAGCAAAGCAAAUUAAAGCCAAAUGACCCUUUGGCCGUCAUACGCUUCUAGGUGUCCGAAGCCCAAUUAUACGAAAGUAGCUUUAUAAAGCCCACC